CAACCAUCCAAAUGCAGAGAGAAACGGCGUGCCGGCUGGUGCACUACCAUCACAUCAUGAGGUCUGUGGAUCAAGGUAGAGUCCUUGCAUUUUUUAUUUUUAUUUUUAAAUGGGGUGUUUGAAACUCUUUUCUUUCUCUUUCCUCCGCUUCUCUAUCCCUGGCCUCGAUUGUGCCGCUCGCGGCUGAGGAAUCUCUCGCGCAAGCUUCGCUGGGACAGAGCGCGGCCAGCUGCUCGCUCGCUCCUGUUGCCGCUUCCCUGCUUGUUCUCCGGGCUGCCUUCCUUUGGGCGCAGCGCUUCCCGAGGGAGCGAAGUCCCCUUGCAACCGGCGGAACUGAAUUCCGCCGGGACAGGGGCUGUCAAAAAGCGCCAUUGGUUUCCACGGGACAUCCCAACAGGACCCGCUUCCUAACUUCUGGAGAUGGUGAUGUUCGAGGGAGAAAAUAGGAAACAGGGCAUUCCCGGGGUUUGGUGAAGUCAGGGUGAACCGCCACCUAACAUCUGACAUGCCCCUUUUUUGUGACUGGGGAUGGUGACUCUAGUAAACGGAUGAUUAAUGGCGGGGGCUGUGCGAGAGCCAGCAGCGAUAUUCCUUCCCCCGCUUCACAUUUCUCCUUGGAAGAAAUUCGCUCUCUCCAAUCUACGCUGAAAGAAAUAGCCUUUCAACUCCAUCCAGCCUCUUACAAACCCAUCAUAGUAGUCGGAGAAAUUCGGGUUUGUAAACAGCCGGUCCGGUUUAACUCUUGAUUCACCGUAUUUAGAGGGUCAGGGGCCUUAUCUAUACAUAAUCUGAAAUUGUCCACAAUUUCAGGGUGGGGGUGGGGGAGCUAUUGUAUAUGUAUAUGUAUAUGUAUAUGUAUAUGUAUAUGUAUAUGUUUAGAUAUAGAUGGAUAGUUAAUAUAUAUAUACAUCUAUUUACAUAAUAUACGCGUGCUUUUAUUAAAUAUAGAUAUUGCGCAUCGCUUUGAUAUUUUUGAUUAUAUAGCAGUACAUUUUUAAAAAUAUAUAAAUGCGUGAUAUGUGUAUGUCGACAGGGGGAUGUUUUAAGAUUAGCCAGAGGGCUCCUGUAAACCAGGCAAUGUCAGAUGAUCUUGGCCGUGUUUACUCAGAAUAAAGCCCCCGCGCGUUCUUUGGUGUUGCUUUCACGUAAAUGCACCUUUGCAUUUUUACGCGGAAGUAAAUUCCAGUCAUUCCAGCGGCGUUUCCUCCCAAGUAAGCAUGCUUCGGCUCGCAGUCCUGCGACUCCUUGCCCUCAGUGCCCCUUGCUUGCCUUAGAGGGCACCUACCGGUACCUACCGGAUGCACAAACGCACCUUUAUUCUUCCUGUUCCAGUUUUGCUCGUCCCACACCCAGCCAGGCUAGGCGGAGAAGCGGGCAGACGAAACAUCCUGGCCUUCGACCGCGAAGGCUUCUCUUGGCCUUCAUAUUACCCUCCCCGUUUUAUAGGAGAAGAUGGCAUCCCACCGACCCUCUCCCCUGUUUCCUGCCCCUGCGCCGUGCAGUCAGCCGGGGAAAGAGUUGGUGUCCAGACGGUGUCCAGUCCCGCGCGGCUUCGCCGGGGUGUCUGGGUCUCCGGGGCGCAUGACGCACGAGAGAGGCAGCCAUUGGGCGAAGUGGAACCGGCCGCGGCGGGAGGAGAUCCCCUGCAGGCUGUCUGGGAGUUUGUGCCGGGAGUAUGGAGCCUAUGCUCGCGCUAGCUCACAUUGCCUCCUCCACGUAGCGAGAGUUCAGGGGUUCCUAAGGGCAGGGGAGAUUCAGCAGGCAGGCUGGAUGUAGGCUUGAUCGUGCUCCGCGUGAACGGCACCCGUGGCCAGAAAGAACUACUGUAAAUUAAAUUAGGUCUGCAAUCAGAGCUAACCCCCUGCUGGAGCGCGGUGGGUUUUAGGACGGCGCUGGAAACAUUUAUUUAUUGCAUGUGCAGUAUAGCCCACCUUUUCUUCAUGGUUCUUUCCCCUUGCAGAUUCAUAUAAUCCGCACAACAACCUUGUGAGGUAGGUUGGGCUGGGAGACGGUGGCUGGCCCAAGGGUCACCCAGCGAGGUCCAUGGUCAGAUAGGGGAUUUGAGCCCUGGUCUUUCCCAGGUCCUAGUCCAACACUCUAAAUACUAGACCAGGCAUAGGCAAACUCGGCCCUCCAGAUGUUUUGGGACUCCCAUCAUCCCUGACCACUGGUCCUGUUAGCUAGGGAGGAUGGGAGUUGUGGUCCUAAAACAUCUGGAAGGCUGAGUUUGCCUAUGCCUGCACUAGACCAUACUGUUAGGCAAUUCAAGAAAAAAUAAUGGCCUGGUGUCUUUAUAAAGUGCCUGAUCCGAACUUUGUAAACUUAUCCCUAAAUCCAAGUAUCAUUUGAGCUGUCCAGGCAAUGAGGAAUCCUUGGUUGGGAAUCAGCAAACUCUGAACAUUCUGGUUGCCACCCAGGAUGACUAUUCCUUUGCAUGAUUCCCUGUGUGCCAGUGGGUCUCUCAGAUACUUAGAAUAGGAGUGGGCAAACUGUGGCCCUGCAGAUGUUGUUGGACUCAACCUGCCCCCAACCAGUGUGGCCAGUGGUCAGGAAUGGUGGCAUCUGGAAGGCCACAGUUUCCCCAUCUGGCUGGGGAUCAAAGGCAGAGAUCAGGAAUGAAGGAGUGAUGGGUUUAAGGGAAGUCCGCAGCAGGUCAGGUGCAGCUGCAACAAGGUUAGAGAGCGUGAUUUGUGGGAACAGCUCCUGUUCAAAUGCAUCAGCUGCAGUUUCCCCCCAGCAUGGAGGCUCAAGGUGGCAUGAAAAGCUGGUGGAGGUACUGCCAGCAGCAUCUUGAGGGAGUGAUUGACGCGAAAGGGGCUUUCAUUCUCUCUUCCCAAUGCCUGUGCAUGUGUUUCUCCCCCUGUCCACAGAGACCAUCCCUAGACAGCAGGCUCACAGUUGGGUAAGAAGAGUUGGUGUGGGGAAAAGGUUGGAAGAAAAGCAAAUGGAGGGUUGUGAAUUUGUGGGGAAGGUCUAUACUUAGCUUAGUCCCUGGUUCAAUGUCCAGCAUCUCGAGGUAGGACUGGGAGAGAACUCUGCCUGAAACCCUGGAAAGAGCUGCUGGCAGUCACUGUGGGCAAUAGACCAAGGGUCUGGCUCACUUUAAGGCAGCUUUCCAUGUCCUAUGUUCUCCUAUGACCGGGCAGAGCAGGCAGGCAAGGUCUCCCUUGUAUGCACAAACAACCUGUCCCCUAAGCAGCACAGCAGUUCCUCUCCCACAUUAAGCAAUGCAGAAUAACUGCUCCCUAUUAGGCAAAAUUGAUCUGGACCUACUUUCCCAUUUAUCACAAAGCUGAUCAGAAUAUUCACUUUUUCCCAGUUUUUAAAGGGUGGGGAAAUGUUCUUCUCUUACACUUUUCAACCACUCUGCUUUUGAGCAUGAAAGGUGUGACUAAUUAAUCAAAAAUACUUAGCCUUUAUUAACCACAACAAUCACAUUUAUAUAGUUGCUGUUUUCCCACCCUAGUAAGCUUAUUUAGUUAGUUAGUUUCAAUGUUCUGUCAGUUUAUACAUUAAAAAUUGAAUACACAACGUCCAAAAAAUACACCUUAAAUAUAAAAUCUAAAACCAGGAGAGGCGGCGGGGGACAGAGAAUAGCAUCGGUGCAACAGAUCUAAAAAGUACUAAAAUAUUUAAGAUGGAAUUGCCUGGGGAAAUAAAAAGGUCUUAGGUUGGCACAGAAAAAAAAAAUAAUGUAGGCACUAAACAGGCAUCUCUGAAGAGGAUGUUCCACAAUUAGGCUACCCAAAAUUCAAAGGGUCUGCCUUCUAAGUAGCCAUUUCAUUUGGCAGGGAUACUUGGAAGAUGAUCUCAGAGUCCAGUAUACAUGGGAAGAGAUAACCUGCCCCAAGCUGUCUUGAGCUUUGAAGCAAGGAUGGCGAACCUAUGGCCGUCCAGAUGUUGUGACAGCCUCAGCAAGCAUGGCCAGGGAUGGUGGAAGCUGCAAUCCACCAACAUCUGGGGGACCGUAUGUUCUCCAUCCCUGCUUUAAAAGUUGAUGCCAGGACUGGAGCUUUCAAAAAGGGUUGGACAAAUUCAUGGAGGACAAGUAUUCUGGCCAUGAUGGCUAUGCUCCACCAUGCUGUCAGACACCAUGCCUCUGAAUACCAGCUGCUGGGAACUGCAGGGGGACAGUGCUGCUGCAACCAUGUCCUGCUUGCAGUCUUCCUACAGGCAUCUGGUUUGACUGUAUCAGCAAUCUUGCAGUCCUAGUCUGACCACCUGAAGUGUGUGGGUAGUUUUCAACAGCAGCUCUAUGAUAUAAUGCAUCACAGUCAUUGGACGAGAGGCUAUCAUUCAUAAUUGGGUGUGUUAGCCUAAGCGGAUAAAAGGCACUUCAUGCACACACUGCACAACAUCCAUUCACUAGUCAUCAUUGUUAUUCCUGGGUCUGUAUUGCAGGUGACAAAUAGAGGAUGAGAGAAAUAUGCCUUGCCUGUUGGUUAUGGCUGUGGAGAAACUUGAACCAAGGUCUUCCUGGCUUGUAGCUCAUACUCAGCUCCCACUCUUCCCUGGCAAUCCAGAAGUGUUGAAGCAGUUAAAAGACUGGCCUUCCAGAUGUUGGACUCCAACUCCCAUCAGCCUCAACCAACAUGAUCAAUGGGCAAAGAUGAGGGGAGUUGUAGUUCAUCAACAAAUGGAGGGUUAGAUGUUCCCCAUCAGCAUAUUAAGUGGUAUUAUCUAGUUCAGGUUAUGUUAAGUACUCUAUGUUAAGUACCCUAACUCCACCUUCCCCAUCCUGGUGCCUCCAGAUGUUUGAACUACAACUCCCAUCCCUACCCAUUGGCCACAACAGCUGGGUCUGAUGGGGGUUGGAGACACCAGGUCAGGCCAGGGAAGGCUGCUCUAUCUGCUCAGAAGGAACUUCCACUGAGUUUACUGGGGCUUACUUUCAAUGACUUUUUGCAAAGAAUUAUGGGAGCUGCAGUUUGUUGUGGGUACUGCAAAUUGUAGCUCUGUUAAGGGGAAACUACAGUUCCCAGGAUUCCUUGGGGGAAGCCAUGUGCUUUAAACAUGCGUUGGGUGUGCUAUAAAUGCAUGGUGUGGAUCUGGUUAGAAGGUCAUCAUGUGCUCUGUGAAGUGAGGAUUAGAAUCUUCUUUGGUGAUUCUGAAUAGAGAAAUGGUAGUCAGUCUGGAGCAUGCAGUAUACAUAUAUCUGUGUGACCUUAAAAACCUUUGCAUAUGGGCGAAUCCCAUGGAAGUCCUUCACAUCAGGGAUACCAACUUGAAUAAAAUAUGGGGCGGGGCAGGUAAGCCUUGCCCUGCAUAAUGCGCACUCUUUGACUGGCAAUGCCUAUUAACUUUGGGAGGGGACAGCCCCCUCAAAUAUUUUAUUGGAGGGUCGGAGGGACCUCAGCCCCAUGGAGUUGGCUCCUAUGCCUCACAUAUACCCAGUGCUUUUUUUUCGGGGGUACGCAUACCCCUAAACAUUUUGUGACUCUAAGUUGGGCCUCACUGAGUGGCAGUAUUUCAAUGAGAGUAGGAAAAAGAGUAACCCUAAAUAUUAUUUUUAUAGAAAAAAGCACUGCACCUAUGCACGCACGCAGUCUUUUAAUAUGGAGCCUAGAAUAUUUUGCUUAUGAGAAGUCAUAUUGAGAUGGAAAAGGAUAAAAGAUCCCUGAGUACUGUACUAAUAUUUCCUUCCUAGCGCGCGGUUUACGCAUCGCACAGUAACGCUGCAGAGAGGCGUGUGGCUUGUUUCAUCAGAUGAAAUAAGCUAGCGAGAGAGGCUUUCUGCAACAGGCAGAAAAAAGACAGUACCUCAGCCCCACCCUGGCUGCUAAAAAUAACUGCUUCAUUCUCUUCUACUUUCACCUCCUUGGAUAAACGUCCCAGCUCUCGGCGGCCGAAACUAGCUCCGCAGUUCAGAUUAUUAAACUUGCACCCAAAUGUUGUUGCCCAAUCGUAAAACGCGGCCGCCUGAGGACAAGUCGGGAUCCCUUACUGUCAGAAGGGGGGAGAGGUCUGGAUUCACCGCGGCAGACGGGAAAGCAGCCAAAGAAAAAACCCCUCCUCCCUCUCAACUAUUGGUAUAACCCUUUCAGGCACGCGGGACAGGUAAAAGUGAAUGAAGCAUCUCUCCCUCCCCCCGCACUCGACACCCCGGCGCGCCUGGUUCAUUCACAAUGAAUUGGGCGAGCGAAUCCCCUCGGUUCUGUUCAGUAAGCAGAUUUCAAACCCAUCCAAUGCUUUUUGGCGAAAUUCCACCUCUCCGCUGGUCGUCUCCACCCCAGCACGGAGAGCGGCCAACGGCUGGCAGAGGGAAAUAUGUGGCGUGACUCGAAGGGGCGGGAUCCCGCCAGAGCAUCUGCGGGAGAAACUCUGGAAGUCCGCCGAGCUUUCCCGGAGUAGACUUUUUAAAGUUCCCUUAGCAGCAAGGAAGGAUUAGCAGGGGCGCUAAAGAAGGCAGCUAGGACAGUGUUGGGCUUCUUCCUGCAUCUGUGGGCCACACAAGCUUUUACGUAUUUAUUACAUACUAGUUCGGGCUCCCUUUAACAAAAACUUGCAGUCUACUGCACAGAAAUUAAAUGGGUUAAAUAAAACAAAAUUUUUAAAAAAUGAAAUAAAUUUUUAAAAAUUUAAAUAAAAUAAAAAAGCAAUGAAAUGCAAUACAGUGGAGAAUAAGAAGUAGGCUAAAACAGAUUUAACUCGGUGAAACAAAUUUAAAGGCCUGGGAAAAUAUAAAAGGGGUUUGGCUCACACUAAUAACAAAUUAGUGACAUACUUUAGAGUGUAAUUCUGAGACACAGCUGAAUUAGACUCUGUGAAAUUGGAUAAUGGUUGAAUGCUGGGUUUUAUUAAUUAGUUACUACAUUAAUACCCCACAUUUCCUUCAAGGAGAUCACAGCAGUGUGUGUGGUUCUUCUCCUUCCAAUUUGAUCCUCACAACAGCCCUGUGAGCUUGCAGAUAGUAACUGGCCCAAAGGCACCCAGUUCUCUACUGCGCCAGACUGGGAGAAGAAGUGAUAAAUCCACAUUUGUCGCCUGCAUUUUUACAGUUUAACAAAUUGAUUUGUGAAUUCUGCUUAAGUCGUAUGAGUUGUGCCAAUGUGAGUGUGUCUGUGGCUGAUUCAUGCAUUCCUUGCACUGUGUGAUUUUAUGCAUGUUUGCUCAGAAGUAAAUGCCACAGGUUUUUAGUAGACUUCCAGAGCAACUUAACCCACUCGUCCCUUAUGCCGGUUUGUGUGCGGUGGGGUGAGGUUUGGCUUGAUCUGAGGUGUCUCAUCUUAUUGGCUCUGCUGGCUGAACUGGCCUCCCAGGUCACUCCAUGAGUGUGGAACCUCUGCCUUCCCACACCAAGCAUGCAGGCAAGCAGAAGAUCCACUGGCAAUAUUCCCACCAGUGGAAAGCCCCAAAACAGAGUUCCAAGGGCAAGGAGAGUGCCUGUCAAGGCUUGAUCAUUGCACCAGCCUGGAGCUGGUACAGGGAUUAGGUCCAAUCAUCCUGCCUGCACUUCUGCUGCUGUUGCUGCUGCCAUGAGAAACCAGGAGAUGGAGAGGAUUUAGGAGAACUGCCUAACUCCCAAAUAAGUGUGCAUAGGAUUGCAGCCCAGUUUUCCCAAGAGUAAUUUGUAAUUUCCCCCUUGCUAGAGAUGAACAGCUGAGUCGGUCAAACUCAAAUGGUGACUGGGAAAAUAGGAGGAUGUUUUUUAUACGUAUAGCUUUUUUAAAUCUGAAAGGGAUAUCCUUGUUAGUUUAUCGCAGCAGAAAUAACAAAGAAAGCAUCUGAGAAAGUGGGCUCUGGGACACAGACACUUAUGCCACUGUCGAUGCCAAGCCACUCUAAGGGUAUUUUGUGCCCUGGGUGAACUCUUGAGUGACCAUCUCCCUUUUCAGUCUGGAACAAUUGUUAUGUUCAUUCCAGAACAAUUAGGCUGGGCCUCAUUAGCUGCCUUGCCCACAACCCAUUGAACAUGGGAAUGGAGUAAAGUGAGAAGGGGAGGAGACACACACACACACACACACACACACACACACAGCCUGCCACUUCAGACUUUGUCCUGUUUCUCUUUCCCACAGAAAUAAAAAAAGGUAAAGGUAAAGGACCCCUGGACAGUUAAGUCUAGUCAAAGGUGACUAUGGGGUUGCUGCUCUCAGCUCACUUUACAGGCCGAGGGAGCCAGCGUUUAUCCACAGACAGCUUUCUGGGUCAUGUGGCCAGCAUGACUAAACCUCUACUGGUGCAACAGAGCACCAUGACGGAAACCAGAAUGCACGGAAAUGCCGUUUACCUUCCCGCCGCAGGGGUAUUUAUUUAUCUACUUGCACUGGCAUGCUUUCAAACUGCUAGGUUGGCAGGAGCUGGGACAGAGCAACGGGAGCUCACCCCAUCAUGGUGAUUCGAACCGCUGACCUUCUGAUUGGCAAGCCCAAGAGGCUGAGUGGUUUAGACCACAGCGCCAGCCAGAAUUGGGGGUGGAGUCAGUGCAAGGUGCUGGUACUUGGUCCUGUGUGACUGCUUUGGGUACUGUGUUUGUAUUGUUGGUUGUCAAUGAAAGGCUGGUUAUCCACAUGCACGGGGCACCGAGAGACUGAUGCUGAGUCUGUCCCUAGUGGUGGACCUUGGUGUCUCAGUUUUCAGUGGCUCCCUGUGUGAUGCCAAAAUCCAGUGCUGCCCUGCCUCUCACCUUCCAUUGGAGUAAUUGUGGCAGAAUCUGCUCCAGUGCUCCAUAACCUCCGUGCCCUUAGAGCCACCUCUGCUGCCUGACCCCCCAAAAAACUCGAGUGGAUGCAGACUAGCAACAGCUCAGGGUGCAGUGCAUACAACUCUCCCAUCCCAUCACAAUGAAGUGAAGUGAAAAGAGGAGCUGGAGCUGGUCCUGGUUCAGGCAAGCCAGCAUGAGGGAUGGUCUCCCUCUCUAUGGGGUGGCUCACAACCCCCUCCCCAAAGAAACUGCUGGGCUGGCCAGGCUGAGACCAUCAGCUGCGGUCACCUAAGCAGCCAAAAGCAAGUCUCGCUGAGUUCCAGAGGCUUCGCAGUGCAGUCACUCUAGUGAGCUGUCCCUGUUUCACAUCAACAGUAAAAAGGCAGGAUUUGUCCCCUCUAGGAGGCUGCAGCCCUAAGUAUCCUUUAUCUGGAAAGCACCAUUGCCAUAGGAAUAAUGGAGUUAUUUCUGAAUAGACAAGUGCAAGUCUGUCAUGCGUCUCUCAUAAGAGUCAAUGGUGCCAGACUUUCUCCACUGAAGGGAAAGCAAAAAGGGGUGCAAGAUUUAUCAGGAAAUCUACUUCCCGCCCACCACAAUUCUGAGCCUUGACAACGGGAGGUCUGUUGCUGUUAGCGGAGAAGUUUCUCAAGUUCUCCAAGUGGCUUGCCCUCAAGAGAUUUUGGACCACAACUCCUAUCAGCCCUAGGGAUCCCCACCCAUUGCCUCUGCUCUUUGGGGCUGAUGGAAGCUGUAGCCCGACAGCAUUUUGGGAUGUCGCCCAAACACUGAACACAUCCUCCUCCUCAGCACCAGCCUCUUUGGCUCUGACAAGAUCUCUGAAGCUGGAGCUGCUAUUCUUCCUGCCAAGACCUGCUUGGGAGUUUUUCCCACAGAAUAAUGUGUGGUGGCACAUUCUGGAUAACAAAGACAACAUGAAACUGACAGUUGCUUGCUCUUUUAGCACCACCAUCACCAUCAGUUGCUGCCUGUCACAUUUUGCCACCCAAUUAUUAUUUUUUGCCACCCAAGGUAACCACCUAGUUCACCUAGUGGUUGAACUGGUUCUGUUGUUGUUGUUUAAUUGUGUCCGACUCUUCAUGACCCCAUGGACCAGAGCACACCAGGCACUCCUGUCUUCCACUGCCUCCCGCAGUUUGGUCAAACUCAUGCUGGUAGCUUUGAGAACGCUGUCCAACCAUCCCAUCCUCUGUCAUCCCCUUCUCCUUGUACCCUCCAUCUUUAACCAACAUCAGGGUCUUUUCCAGGGAGUCUUCUCUUCUCAUGAGGUGGCCAAGGUAUUGGAGCCUCAGCUUCAGGAUCUAUCCUUAUAGUGAGCACUCAGGGCUGAUCUCCUUCAGAAUGGAUAGGUUUGAUCUUCUUGCAGUCCACGGGACUCUCAAGAGUCUCCUCCAGCACCAUAAUUCAAAAGCAUCAAUUCUUAGGCAAUCAGCCUUCUUUAUGGUCCAGCUCUCACUUCCAUACAUCACUACUGGAAAAACCAUAGCUUUAACUAUACGGACCUUUGUUGGCAAGGUGAACUGGCUCUAGUCACCAUAAAUAGAUUAAGGAGAAAUCUAACCCCCAGGCCAGCACCAAGGAGAUUUGCAUUGCUCUGCUAGUCUUUAACGUGUCACAACACUGCCUUUUUUCUUUAUUUCAAAGAUACCCAAAGGAGGCCUACACUUAAAGAGAAUGAUAAAUAAAUGCACAUCAAUAAAGCAUUACAGUUCAUGUCAGUGGGGCUUACAUCCAAGAGGGAGAAUUGUUGUCCUAAAAACGCCUAAUGUUGGAUGCCUCAAGCUGCAAUUCGUUGGCAAAGUCUUAACAAAAAAAUCACAUUCGAGAGACAAACGGAGUUGAGCAAACUUUCUUGCUCAACUAAAGCAAUUUCGUCACUCGCCUCUUUGGAGAACUGGCUUGGGAUAAUAAUAUCUUCGGAAGUCUUUCCCACUAUUUGGCUUAAUAUAUACUUUUUAUUAUGAUAUGUACAUUCCAUUGGUUUUCAAGGCUGCCUUCAGCAUUUUUAAUGGGAACAUGGAGAUUAUGAGUAAUUUUUCCAUUGGCUUUUCUUACCCAAACCACACUGUGCCUUAGAUUGGGAGAAAUAUCUGUGACUCAGACCGACCCCCAAAUUGAUUUUUUUUAAAAAAAAGAUGGACUUGAAAUAAGAUGCUUUUGCUAUAUGUCUAUGUUUCUUCAAUGUGUGUGUUUUGCUUUUACCAGUAUAUAAUUAUAAUGGGCUUCCCUCUUGGCUGGAAACCGUGAUGUGCCAUUAACUGAUUGUACGCAUAUUCUCUCCAAACUCCUAGUUAUGCCAGGGUUCUGUAUCAGCGGAAACUCUCUGCAACAUAGGAGCCAACAAUAAAAUAGUUGAGGGGACUGCUUCCCCCAGCUGAUGUGCAUUAUCAUUCAAAUGAUGUUUGUGCACCGUGUUAUGUGAUUGAUUUUUCAGGGUGGGGCUUACCUGCCUCCCCCCCCCAAUAUUUUAUUCAAGUUGGCACCCCUGCUCUGCAAGGUAUAUUCUUCCAAAUCCAAGACCAUCCGAGGCCUUAUUCAGGGCCAGAUAUCCUUUGGCCCUCUGUCCCUGGCUAUUGACCAUGCUGGCUGGGUUGAGUCCAAAAUCAUCUCAAGGGCUGCAGUCCCUGGCAUAAUUCAUACAGGAUAAGAGUGGCAUGAUUGCAGCCUGAAAAUGGUGCCACAGUGAUGUCGUGCCUCAUGGGAAGUUGUCGUCUGGUUGUUUGGCCAUCUCUGUCAGGCCAAUGUUAUCUUACCUGCUUUCCAUUUCAGACAGAAAUCACUCUGGUGGAUGUUGCAACCUUUAAAGAAAGGUAAUAUCAGAGGUUGGCAUUAUCAGGCCCCUGCCAAGGCUCACCCAAGCCACAAUAAGGUAAAGGGACCCCUGACCAUUAGGUCCAGUUGCGGCCGACUCUGGGGUUGCGGCACUCAUCUCGCUUUAUUGGCCAAGGGAGCCGGCGUACAGCUUCCGGGUCAUGUGGCCAGCAUGACUAAGCCACUUCUGGCGAACCAGAGCAGCACACGGAAACGCCGUUUACCUUCCUGCUGGAGCAGUACCUAUUUAUCUACUUGCACUUUGACGUGCUUUCAAACUGCUAGGUUGGCAGGAGCUGGGACCAAGCAAUGGGAACUCACCCCGUCACGGGGAUUCGAACCGCUGAUCUUCUGAUUGGCAAGUCCUAGGCUCUGUGGUUUAACCCACAGCACCACCUGCGUCCCCACAAUAGGCUUGCUGCUAAUGUCUGGAGCCAACUUUUGAAGUUUCUCCUCUUCCUUGUUGCUGCAGGUUCACCUGCCAUCUCUAAGUGGCCAAGCAGUGAGGAGAGCAACAGAUGGCUCAGGAAGCUUUGCAUGCCUGGUCUCCUCCCUCUGGAAAAUGGUGGAUGUCAGCCCCUCAGGGAGGAGGGUACUCAGCACCACUUGUCCAAUGGCCCUUAAAACCUGGAACUGGCACUGAAAAACCAGCUCCUAAAAUCUGAUUAAUGAGAACUGUGCGGUUGGAUGGGGUCAGAGGGCCAUUAAGUUCAACCCGCACUGCUCCAAGGUACUAUUUUCCACACAGCAUGCCUCAUAUAAAGUUAACCCAGACCACCAUGCAGAGAGCAGGUAAUUCUGAGUGACUCAAGCAAGUGAGCCAAACCACAAAGGAAGUGUCACGUAGUCACAAGCCAAUAGGCGUCAACUUAAUUGUAAUCCUUCGUAUGGCAGUCAGCCUCAAUUAAUGGAUUGCAUUUUAGUAUGAUGAAAUCAACUCAGCCAUUUUGUGCACUGAGUAUUUAGUUUGUUUCUCUUGUGUGAUGGGAGGUAAUAAUAAUAAUAAUAAUAUUUGCCAGACUUGAUAAAAAACUAAAACUCACCACUAGAGGGCACAUUCAAACAAAAUAUUCAAAAUUAUUGUAUCACAUGAUUAUCAGUUCAAAAUGUGAUAAUUAGAUAUAUGAUUAUGAGUGUGCAAACAUAAUUUUUAUUAAUUUACCUCCUAAGGAGCUAUUAUUGGGGUGUAACUAUUCAGUGAAUAGAAACUGGAGUCUUUUUCUUCAUUGGUGAUGGAAAUAUUGAUGGAGCGCUAAGUAUUAUAUUGAAAAUAAGUAUUCUGAACAUAAACAAUUAUUUAUUAUUAUUUCUUCGUUAUAUCGCAGCCUUCUUUGAAGGAAUUCAUAUCAGUUUAUAUAACUCUCACCCACCUUGUGAGACAGGUUAAGCUGAGAGUGAUGGACGCUGGUUGAAGGUCACUCACAUCUUCAUGACUGGGUGGCAAUUUGAACCAGCAUCUCCCUAGUCCUGGGCUGUGUAGACACUGUGCCUUUAAAGCACAUUCAAAGCACAAUCUUUCUCUCAAAGAACUCUGGGCAAAAAGAACACUGUGAGUUCCCCUCUCACAGAAUUAAAUUUCCCAGGACUGCUUAACCAACUACAGUGCCCAGAAUUCUUUGAAAGAAAGAAGGUGCUUUGAAUGAGCUUCAACGGUUUAGUGUGUGCACAGUCAUGCUCUUACACUGACCUCUUCACCAUGCUGGGUCUCAAGCAAAUGUUUACAUGCUUCAUAACCAAUCCUCUAUCCUUAGUGUGUAAUAGUGGAAGAAAAGCAGCACUAAUUUUGACCCACUGGCUUUGCAAACAUCAAAAAGUGUCUUGAUGAACAUGAAAGGCAAUUAUUGCUUAGUAAUCAAAAUGUUAUCCUUGUACUUCAGUAUUGUCUCAUCUCCUAAGGGAUUCUUUUGAUACUCGUGCAUGACGUAGUGCUAAAAAUAGCAUUGUGGGUGUUUAAAGUUGUGUGCAUGGUUAAUUCUGCAUGAAAUGAAGGAACUGCCUUUUAAAAUAUUUGAAUAUUUAACCUGAUCAUAUCAGCGGGCCCAUCUUUCUCCAUCAUAAAGGUGUACCUAUAUUACCUAUCUUCAGUUAUCAUUUCUGUAGGGAAUCUUAGCACCUGAGAUCAUAUUCUAGCUUGGGGCUACAUCCUAGGAAGUGUUGGGUGUGGUUUUGCUAAGUAGACAAGCACAUUCAAAAAAAAUUAUAUGCAUGAAAAUCAGUAUGAUUCAUCAUCAUAAAGAUACGGGAAUGUUUAAGACCUAGUUUAAGUGCCUCUUGUGAAAAAGCCAGCAAACAUGACAAGUCUGGUCUGUUUGCUGUCAGCAUCUUCUUCCUCAAUUCACAUCACCCUUUACAGAGCAAAAAUAAGGACAGGCCCUUGAACCCAAGGACCUUACAAUCUGAAUAUUGGCAGUGGGUCAGAGGGCAGCAAUAGAGAGCAGUAACAAACAGGAGGAAAAGGAACAAGGGCUGGCUGAGGAUUAUAGUGUUUUGCUGCUGUGGUACAUGCUUGUCUCUAAGACAUCUAGGGUUCCUCCAUGCACUUGUCUUGGUGGAACUAUAGACAUGCAUCUAACCAUCCAUACAUGCAUGUGUUUUAAGACUGCUGUGAAAAUGAAUGUGUCUUUUUUAAAAAAACCACAAGUAAGCUCAGAAGUCCUACCGCUAAAGUUUUAUAGCUGCAGUCAAAACAUGAUUGUGUAUGGAAGUACAGUAAGUGUGAAAGCACUAUAAACGUUGGCUCGUUCUGUUGCUGUGCUUUGUUCCAUUUCAUUUUUACGAUGCUGAUUAUGGGAGGCCAUUCACAAAUGUCAUACAAAUUAUAAAGGGCUAGAUUAUUGCUGACUUGAAAGCCCUGGGAUUUAAAAACACUUAAGAUAUUUAAGUGUGUGAAUUGUCACUGUAAGAUGGGCAGCCUUGUCAUACUGUCCUUCAAGAGAGCUCAUGCUGUGGCAAAUUGUGGGCUAGGCUGGUUCCUGCCCCCGCCCUUGCCCACGUUUUCUGGUUCAGUGUUUGAUGCGAUAGUCAAAUAAAAUUCUGGAAGGAACCAUUUCCCUCAAAUCAAUUCAAAGGCUUUUAAGAGGGACGCGGGUGGCGCUGUGGGUUAAACCACAGAGCCUAGGACUUGCCGAUCAGAAGGUCAGGGGUCCGAGUCCCCACGACGGGGUGAGCUCCCGUUGCUCGGUCCCUGCUCCUUCCAACCUAGCAGUUCAAAAGCACAUCAAAGUGCAAGUAGAUAAAUAGGUACCGCUCCGGCAGGAAGGUAAACAGCGUUUCCGUGCGCGCUGCUCUGGUUCGCCAGAAGCGGCUUAGUCAUGCUGGCCACAUGACCCGGAAGCUGUACGCCGGCUCCCUCGGCCAAUAAAGCGAGAUGAGCCCUGCAACCCCAGAGUCGGUCACGACUGGACCUAGUGGUCAGGGGCCCUAAGGCUUUUAAGAAAAUGUAGCAGCUUUCUCCAGUCUCUUUUAUACCAAUAUCAAGUCCUCUCUUAGUUCUCUGGUGCCCUCUGGUCCUCUCCUCUGGUCAACUGGACUGUACAAGCCACUCUAGGAUUUGGUGAGAGUACACGUGAAACAACUGAAAUGGCAUGCCAUUUGUCUACGAUCAUAGAAUUGUAGAAUUGGAAGGGACUCUGAGGAAUUCUUUCCUGAGGAUAAUUUUAUUGUUGUUGUUAUUAUUGUUAUUAGUCCCCUUUUUCCCAGGAAAAAGAACUCAAAGUGACCUAGAAAAAAAAGUUAUAAACAAGUGUAAAAUCAGGGAGGAAACCAACCAAACCACACCAGUUUUUGCUGUUAAAACCUAAGGUAUUUGAGGUAUUGCGGUCCUCAGCUGCACAAGUCUUUACAGGUCAAAACCAGCACUUUGAAUUGGGCCCAGAUGCCAAGCCUUAGAUCACGCACAGCAGCUCACCAUGUCUUCCCAGCAUCCUUUGUAAUGUUGCAAGGGAUUCUGGGAGCACAUCUGGAAUCACUCGUUCUGCCUUUCUAGUACUUCUGUACCUAAUUUCACAUAGAGAUAGGCAUGUGUAAGCCACACUGAGCCUGAUUCACUCAUAAAGGCAGCUUAUAAAGAGUUUAAAUAAAUAAACGCAUGAAUAUGCAUGCUCUCAUCUCCCAUGUUUGUGUAAAGACAUGGGGUGGAGUUUGAAGGCUGUUCCAUAAUGGUUGAUAUUUGAUUUUUUGACAAUUUGAGGUUAUGAUUUGUUUGUGUUGACACAACACACUGUCACACUAAGGCCAACUUUCCCAUGUUUACCAGUUGUCCCCACUACCAGCACAUACAAAGAAAUUAAGGAAAAAAUACAGCCACAUGCUAAACACGGCUCUUGUGCCAUUUAGCAGUUGCAUGACAGGAACCAACCUCUGUCAGCGUACCUCCACACAGGGAAAAACUUCACCUGAUGGAUUUCUGCAUCUCCAAAGGGGAAGGUGGGUGGCAAUUCGACAGACGUGGGUGGCCAAACAAAAAGGAAAAGACAGGGCUCCUGCAGCUUUAAUAGUUGUGUAGAAGAUGGGAUUUCGCCCAGUCUUGGCCCUGCAAAAGUGCCUGAGCCCUGCCUUCUGUGUCUAAGGCUAUACUAGUCUUAAUAUUGCACACCACCAACAACUGCAUGCUCCCCAUGUCUUUAAAGUAUGUUUCAGAGCACAAUUCAAAGUGUUGGUGCUGACCUUUAAAGCCCCAAACGGCUCUGUAUACCUGAAGGAGCAUCUCCACCCCCGUUGUUCAGCCUGGACCCUGAGGUCCAGCUUCAACGGUCUUCUGGAGGUUCCCUCCCUGCGAGAAGUGAGGUUACAGGGAACCAGGCGGAGGAGGGCCUUUUUGGUGGUGGCGCCAACCCUUUGGAAUGCCCUCCCAUCAGAUGUCAAGGAGAUAAGUGACAUACAACCUUCAGAAGACAUCUGAAUGUAUAGGGAAGUUUUUAAUGUUUCAUGUUUUGCUAUAUAAGUUGAAAGCCACCCAGAGUGGCUGGGGCAACCAAGUCAUAUGGGUGGGGUACAAAUAAAAAAUAACAAAAACGAUUAAUGCAACCUCUUUUCCUCUGAUUCAGUUCUCUACCCUCCACCCCCAUUUCUCAGACCAUCCUUCUCCAACCUGCUGCCCUGAAGAUGUUUCGGACUACAGUGGUACCUCGGGUUAAGUACUUAAUUCAUUCCGGAGGUCCGUUCUUAACCUGAAACUGUUCUUAACCUGAAGCACCACUUUAGCUAAUGGGGCCUCCUGCUGCCGCCGCGCCGCCGGAGCACGAUUUCUGUUCUCAUCCUGAAGCAAAGUUCUUAACCUGAAGCACUAUUUCUGGGUUAGCGGAGUCUGUAACCUGAAGCGUCUGUAACCUGAAGCGUAUGUAACCCAAGGUACCACUGUACAACUGCCAUCGCGCCCCAGCCAGCGUGGCCUUGCCUGAUGGCUGGCUGGGGCUGGCCGCGGAACUUGCGCUGCCGAGCAUCCUCAGGGCACCAGGUUGGGGACAGCUGCCGACCUCCGCUCGAGGCUGGGGCGGCGGCUGCCUGCGCUCCUCCCGCCGCCGCCGCAGCCGCCCCUCGCCGGCUGGAGGCCGGUCCCGCCUCCCGGGCGCAGGUGGCCGCUGCGAGCAGGAAGUCCCUACUGUGCAUCUCGCCGCCUUUGCGCUCUCGGUGUGCAGCGGCCGCGGCGCGCCAGGGUCCAGGAGCCGAGCUAGGGCGGGCCGGAGGUGGCUUCCCCGUUCGCCUUGCGAGCGCAUCUUCGCUCACACGAGACCCGGGGCAGGAAGCUCGAAACUCGCUCCUGAGAGAGUCAAACGGGCUGAGCGGGUGGGAAAUCCCAGACGCGUAAAGAGAACCUCGGACUCCACAGAGGAAGGGCUUUGCAUUUGGGGAAGGGAGGCGCGGGACGCUUGGGGUUUUUCAUUUCAUUUUAUUGUAGAGGGGAAAGCGAGAGUUUCCUUUCCCGCUUUCCUUUGGCCCCCUUUCCACAAUAAAGAGGCCACCGACAGAUCUCCUGAUGGCUUCCGGUCCAAAAAGUUCCGAGCCGAACUCCCAGCCCGGAGACCCCGCUCCGAACCCCAACAUCAGCCCUCAGGAAGAGCUGGACUUCUCCAUUUUAUUUGAUUAUGACUACACGAACCCGAUAGCAGGUUUGUGGCUUCUCGCCUCUGUUCUUUAUUUCAUUUCAUUAAGUCCUCCUCCCCUCAAAAGACCUUGCUGCGGCUGCAAUGGAUGCUACCUUGGUGAAUUCAUGGCUCCAAAGGGGCAGGGAUAGCGCUACCUGCUAUCAUGGGCGGGUGCCUGGAAUAAAACAAUGUUUUUUUGGCACUUGGUCAGGGAACUGUCUGUAUCUGUGAGAGAGGAAAGCUGUACUGCGCCGCACAGGAAAGAGUUGUUUUCUCCAGUUAGCACUAAAGAGGGCGACAGGGAAGCGUUAGGAUGUUGGCUGGAGUUGGAUGGGAAUCACUUGUGGCAAUGGAAGUUUUACCUUUCUGCCACCAGCCUUCCUCUGUGGCUACAUUUUUCUUCAUCUCUCCAAAGGGAUGAAUGACCCGAAGUUCUAAUUGCGCAGGUUCUUAUAAGGAUGAGCAACGCGCUAGGGGUGUGUGCGUGCGGCAGAAGUAACUAAGAAAAUAAACGAUAAAAUAUACUGUCACUGCACUGCAGCAGAUCAGAGGGCUGUUCUCUGCCCAAGUAUUUAACUGUAUUGAUAUAUAAUGUGAUUGUCUUUCAGCUUGUGGAUAUCAUAGUUUAAUGGCACCUGUCAGUUGUAUUGUAGUUAUUAGGACUGUUACAAUAUACAGUACAGACCCAGAGUGAGCAAUGCUGAUUAGUCUGUAGAAAUGGCAACAGUGCAUACAUUAUUAUUAGACCAUGGCUUCUGUUGUUGUUUUUUUAAAAUUUAGCUUGCUUUAUGGUGUGGAUUGAGUAGCUAAAUGACGGCUGUACUGCUUUGUACAAAAGCACAUGCAAUUUAACAUGUUAUGUGUGUGAGAAGAUGCCAUGGAUACUCAGAUAACGUCUGUGCUAGGGCUAUUUACUUAUGUUUUUGGCGGUUCUUAUUUUUUAUCUCUAAGCUGCCUUGAGUCCCAUCAGGGAAUAAAGCAGGGUGUGUAUAUAUAUAUAUAUAUGUAGAAAUAAAGAAAGAAAGAACAACAACAAUAAUAAUCAUACACGUUCUCCAAACAAUUGGAUGUCAGAAAAUGCCCACAUCUUUCCCACGUUUUGUGUCAUCUAAGGUAAAUAUUGCCCACACACUUUUGAAUCCACUGAGAGCUGUAUUCUGCCUCCAGUGUGAAAGCAUGCUAAACAUGCAUGACCCAUGUGUUUCCUUCCUUCAUGGUACAUCUAUGUUUGAAAAAAUGUCAUAUAUGAAAUAGUACUGUAGGUACUUUUAAAGAAUGUUAGAAUCCAGUAUCUGGCAUGGAACUUGCCUGCUGAUGCAGGGUGGUCAUCAGUUAACCCAUGGUCGACAUAGUGGUCACCAGUGACUCCACACGUCACCACUUCAUGCUGACACCCUGAAUUUUUAUUAAGCUUUCUUGAGCCAGGACUGCAUAUGUUCUGCACCAUAUUUUGUUAACAAAACUGGAACAUGAUAGUCCGAUCCGAACACAUGAAAAAGACAACAUGUUGCACUAUGGGCAACAUCCAGUUAUUUCCACCUGUUUGCAAAAUGGAAAUCUGCUUGCACAAUGGGACUUCCAGUUUCUUUUCUUCAGCCCUCAUGCACACACACCCCAAAUCUGCUCCACAAGGUCCACCAAGCCUUUGGAGCAUCUUUUGGGGGUGCAUGGGGGAGGAGGAAAAGGAGCAGCCCCUUUACACAAGUGGUCAUUUUUUCAUUCUGCGUUGGGUCUCAUCUGUAUUAUAGCAACCUGAAAUGAUAACAUUAUUUCCUAUCAUUGAGUAGUCACUUUUCUUUCAAGGAUCAGGCUGCAUGAAUAGGUAUUACACUGCAAUCUGAAAAAAGUCCCAUGGAGUUCAGUGUGGCGUUCUUCCAGGAAAAUGGGUAUAGGAUUGCAGCCUUAAUGACAUUUUCCCCCUGAAACAGUGCAGCUCCACCUUACAGUGGAGUCUAUGCUUCUUAGUGCUGCUGAUCCAACUUACCACAGGUGAAUUUGUGACCCAGUCCUACCAACUGGUACCCUAACCAAUCUUGCCUUCCAAACAAUGGGGAUGGGGAAGAGUGUCCAUCUAGGAACAUUGGAAGCUGCCUUGUACCAUGUCAGACCUUUGGUCCACCUAGCUCUGUAUGGUCUACGCUGACUGGCAGCGCCCCUCCAGGAUUUCAGGCAGGAGUCUCUCCCAACCCUAUUGAGAUGCUGGGGAUUGAACUUGGGACAUUUGCUUACAAGGCAGACAUACUGAGCUAUCACCCUUCCCCAAAAGAGGUGUGUGUGUUCAUAAAGGAGGACUUUUAUGACUUGGGCCCUAAGACCUUGAGCCUGAAAUAUAGCACCUCAAUUGUGAUUCAAAUACAGACCACCAAACUCAGACAAGCAAGAACAUGUAAGGAGAUAUUCUUUACUGUAGCCCCAUUAUCCUUUCCAUAAACAAUUAAAUUAAAACUUGAACUUCCUCCAAGCCAAUGUCUGGAUCUGAUAUUUGGUGUGGCUUUCUGUGAUUUCAUUAUUAUUUCUCCACUUACCUUAGAAUGGAACAUGAUAUUACAACGUUCAAUGGCCUGCUUGAAUGUAUAGCUUGAAUGUAUGCUUGUAGCAGAAGUUGAGGACAUCCUAUGCCGAUCUUCAUUGGAUCCCAGCUUGUGGCUCAGUCAGUAGAGCAUGAGACUCCUAAUAUCAGGGUUGUGGGUUUGAGCCCCACAUUGGGCAAAGGAUUCCUGCAUUUCAGGGUGUUGGAUCAGGGUCUCUUCCUACAAUUCUAUGAUUCUAUGACACAGCCAGUGGGAGAUCUGGAUUUAUCACUGUAACAAGUGCAGUUCAACAUAGCUUUGACUGUAUCUUUUGAGUACGUAGUGACAUCGAUAGGAUAAGUGAACUUUUACUAUUUUCUUUUGUAUGGAAACAGGAGGUAGCACAGCUGAAUGUGCUUUACAGUAAUUUAAAAUACAAUAAGUAGUAUUGGGAUUUCAAUCUAAGACUGUUAAAGGUGCAUUGUGGCUUUUGAACAUGCUGCUUUAGUGAGUGUAGUGAAGGGUGCCUUUUGAAUGAGUGAAGGCAAUGAACGUGGCUAAGAAUACUCUAAAAUCAUGUACUCUUACAGUGCCAAAACCGUGACUGAGAAUAUCUUUUCCAGUGCAAUAAAAGCAACUGUAGCUGCUAAUUUACAUUUUCAGUGAUGGGCCAAGAGAAAUUAGCACAUUUAAAUUUUUAUUUUUUUUUUUUUGCAGAAGCCUGUGAAGCUUGUGUGUGUAAAUUCCUUUUAUGUUUGUUGUAAGAAAAAGUAAAAACAAAAACAAAACAAAACACAACUGUGACUUUUUUAAAAGCAAAAGCAAAACCAAGGUUAAAGUCUGAAACGCACUUAUUAGGGAGCCUGAAACUUCGUACUGGGUAAAUCUGCGCAGGAUUCUGUUGCAAAUCCCUUCUACCUUGCUAGCUUUAUACAGUACAUCUGAGAUAUUUUUAAUGUGUUGUAGUGAAUUUUAGUUGAACUGGAAAUGUGUGUGUGUGUGUGCAUCUUUAAUAGCACAGUGCUUGCGUAAUGUACCAGGUAUGGUGGUUUGUUUUUUAUUUACUACGGGUUCUCAUUUUGUAUAUGUUAUGAACCACCCUGUAAUCUUCAGGUGAAGGGUGAUGUACUAAUCAAUCAAUCAAUCAAUCAAUCAAUCAAAUAGGUAAGAGACUGAGCUAUGAGCUGAAAAGUCCCCUGUUCAAAUCUCACCUCAACCACAAAUCCACUGUCCUCCAGGACUAAGUCAGGCUUAGGAGUAAACCCUACUGACCUCAAUGGGACUUACUUCUGAGAAAACAUGCUUAGGGUUGGAAUUACUGCGUCAAGCACACUAAGCCCUUAGAACAAGUGCAAAGCAAAGAGUAGUUGAUGGGUAGGUCUGUUAUUUGAACACACAGGAGUUUUAAAAGCACAAAUCGGUCAUUUCUCCCAGAUGCACACAAUGCAUUUGUUCAUGGUGAUUCACACCUUUGCACUGCAGUGUCCUUGCAUACAUCCAACAUACGGCACUUCAAUCACACCCACACCUGUGGUAUUGGGGCCAAUGUGUUGGAGUUUGACCAGGGAGGCUUGGAUUCAAAUCCCUGCUUUAGUCACAAUAAGCUGUAUGAGUGACCAGCUUAACCUGCAUUAAGGGGUUGUUCUGAGGAUAAAAUGGAGUGGGGACCAUUUGUGUCACUCCCAAAGUUUCUUGGAGGAAGGAAUUAACAGUUACACACCAUUCUAAUAUUGCAAUGAUUGUGUGCAACUUCUUGCCCACACUUGAUGUUGAGAAGAAUAUGCCGUUGUAGAGAGUAGGAAGAGCCCUCCAGAGACAGUUUUACUUGUACUGAAUGCCUGGAUACUGUGAUUAUUAUUAAUUUUGUAUAUUUUCAAGAUGGAAAUAAUUAGUGUAAGGGAGAUCACAACGAAACUUAUAAUCUGGAGGACAUUUCUUGUCUUUCAAAAGACACCAUUAUGAGUCUGUAAGUAAUCCUUUGUACAUCAGUGAUCUUUAAUGUACUAAGAUUAAAGCAUGUUUACAAAGAGAUGGAAAUUAAAAGAAGAAGAAGAAGAAGCUUCGGUCCACAUGUCUAAGUGUGCCUGGCAGUUCUGGAAGUUGACUGUUUCCUAACUGAUGUUAGUUGCAUCUGAACUGAAGCUGCUUACUUGCAGUUUUUGGAUGUUCGCCAGAAACGUAACCAUAGCAGAGGGUCAUGAGCUCAGGCCUUUUCUUCUUCCUCUGAAAGUUCUCAUACUGCAUCCAAAUGAUAUUUUCCAACUUGGAUGGAGUGGAAUCAUUUAAGCCUCUUUGAAUGCAACUUAAGGUUGGUUCACAUGCGUGUGUUCGUCUGUUGAAGCCUGCAACAGCAGCAAAUGACUUGCAUGUGUGAAUGGGUCUCUGCAUAUCAGACACUACAGACAGAAUGGUCAUGUUGUCUGAAGUCACCUUGAAUUCACUGCUUCUCGGUAGAGUCAGUUCUCACAUUCAGCAGCUGGCCAGGAACUUGAAACAUCCAGUGAUAUAUGCAGGGAUGGGGAAAGCCCUAAGAAAAGACAGUUUAGCCUGCAACUCCCACCUUGUCUUGAGGCCAGGGAAUAAACGUAUUAAAUUGCAUCCCAUUUGGUUGGACCAGUGUUUCCCAAACUUGGGUCUCCAGCUGUUUUCAGAGUACAAUUCCCAUCAUCCAUGACCACUGGCCUUGCUCACUAGGGAUUAUGGGAGUUGUCCAAAAACGGCUGGAGUCCCAAGUUUGGGAAACACUGGCUUAGAGUGCAAAGUUGGUUGUGUGUGAGAAAUUCCUUGUCCCUCACCCUUCCCAUUUCAUCCCCUCAGAAGACUGUCCUGAGGGUUGGGAGACUCCCAAAAAGGACUGUGAUAAGGAGUUGGGGGUGGGUGGGUAGAAUUAGGCAGAGGCAGAUUGUAGCCUUAUCCCUCCCCCACUACUGCACUCCACAUUCCAGGACUUUCCUUAGAGCCCUCCAAUCGUUUCAAAAGUAUUUUGGGAGGGCACAGGAAUCUGCAUUGGGAGGAAUUGGUGGGGAAUCCCAUUUGCACGUAUGCUUUAGUGAAUACUGCAUGGGAUGUGGGUGGCGCUGUGGGUUAAACCACAGAGCCUAGGACUUGCCGAUCAGAAGGUCGACGGUUCGAAUCCCUGCAAUGGGGUGAGCUCCCAUUGCUCGGUCCCUGCUCCUGCCAACCUAGCAGUUCGAAAGCACGUCAAAGUGCAAGUAGAUAAAUAGGUACCGGUGGGAAGGUAAACGGCAUUUCCGUGUGCUGCUCCGGUUCGCCAGAAGCGGCUUAGUCAUGCUAGCCACAUGACCCAGAAGCUGUACGCCAGCUCCCUCGGCCAAUAAAGCAAGAUGAGCGCCGCAACCCCAGAGUCGGUCAUGACUGGACCUAAUGGUCAGGGGUCCCUUAAUCUUUUACAAGCUCCUGUACAGAUAUUCUCAUGUGAUUAUGACAGGCAUAGGAUAUCCCAAGACACACACCCAAGCUGCAGUGCCAUAAAGUAGUUAAGGGAGCACUUAUCUCCUACCUGUGCUUUCUAUGGGAGGAUUUCUUUGGAUGUUCAGGAUCAUUCAGGACUACUACAUGCUGGGAACAAGCAGCAGGCUAUAAAUCGCAUCCUGUUCGUGAGCACGCAAAGGCAUCUGGCGGACUACUGUUGGGAAGAUCAGCCUUCCCCAACCUGAUAUCUUCCAGAUGUUUUGUAUUACAGCUCCCAUCAUCCUUUUCUGUUGGCUGUGCUCUCUAGGGCUGAUGGGAAUGGUUGUCCAACAAUGUUCAGAGGUGCCAUAUUGGAGAAGGGUGGACUAGAUGAACCUAUGACAUAGUCCAGUAGGACAAUCCUUAUGUUCCUAUGACCUUUACUUUGAGGAAAGUUCACACCUCUGGUCCAGAAUGCUUAGGCCAGUGAGUCGUAAGAACAGGGGAUAUUUUAAGAUGGGGCUGUAGUUUCUCCAAGCCUAGUUCUCACUUGGCAGUGGACUGUACCAUUUCAGGUGAAGGCUGUCAUAACCGAAUGGUCCUCUAUAGCAAUAAAUAAAUAAUUUCACAUAAGGUAACCAGCAUGUCAGGGAGAAAACUAAUGCAUCUUCUCAACAUCUAGUUCUGUGCAUUGUAUUUUGUAUAAAGGAACAGCCAGCAAUGCAAGCCCUCACUUGCCGCCUGAAGUGGUAGGGCCCAGCCAUCGUGUGGCCCAAGUGAUAAGGUUUCCUUUGAUACGUUUAUCUCCACUGAUAAUUUUUGUUCCUCUCAUAAGAAACUAUUCUCCACAACAGCUGAUCAGUGCUAGCCAUCUCAUGCAACCAACUGUCCACGACGUUUUAAUAGUGCUGGCCAUCUCAUGCAGCCAACUGUGGCAACAUGAUAAGAGAUGGAAUAGCAUGAUAGCAAAAAGCAUUGAGCUGGAAGUCUGCACACCAAACCUCACAGCUGCCACAAACUCAAUUAGGCAGGUCUCCAAGCCUGACCCCCUCACCUCCAUAUGCAACAUGUGGAAUAAUGCUGGUCUGCCUUGCAGUGCUGUUGUAAGGAUUACCUUGAAACUGUAAAUGAGGGAUGUUGAAUACUGUAUUUUUUGCUCUGUAAGACUCACUUUUCCCCUCCUAAAAAGUAAGGGCAAAUGUGUGUGCGUCUUAUGGAGCGAAUGCAGGCUGCACAGCUAUCCUAGAAGCUAGAACAGCAAGAGGGAUCACUGCUUUCACUGCGCAGUGAUCCCUCUUGCUGUUCUGGCUUCUGAGAUUCAGAAUAUUUUUUUUCUUGUUUUCCUCCUCCAAAAACUAGGUGCGUCUUGUGAUCUGGUGCAUCUUAUAGAGUGAAAAAUACGGUACUUGAAAUGGAUGAUGAUACCUGCAGCUUCUUUCCUUAUUAGUCUUAAAAAAUUCCUGUUAGAGUUUCUGUAGUCUGGUGCUUAUGAUUACACUUCCCAGGAUGCCUGGGGUGGGGAAAGCAGAGUGGGGAAAGAAGGAUAGAGAAGUUGGUAGGGUCCGCAGAAAUGUAAUAAUGAUAUAUAUUAAGUUUGGCAAUCCAGCCUAGUGUUUUGACCUUGAUGUGACAAAGCUACUGAAAUCAAUUCAUAAUGUAGAUCUCUUAAGAAAUACCACGUCCUUAAUUCAAACUUAGACCUUUCCCUCAGUAAUCAGACUCGCCCAACAGUUUGUGCAAUCCCACCCCCUCUUUGUUCUUUAGAGUCUCAGGGUAGGGGGCUAUUCUUGCUUGUAAAUUGUAACUCUUCAGAAUGGGCAUGUGAUAAUUGUUAUCUGAUCUUAAUCACUAGCCCAUAGAAUGGAUGCAGGUGACAUCUUGUAGCAAACAACCUUGUCAGAAUAAAUGACAAGGCAGAAUGAUGCCUGCUGGGCACUUUCUGUCUUCCCAUGGUUUGUUGUUUGUGCUAGGAUGUGAAGAUCAGGACAGAUUGUUCAAAAGGCAAAAUCAGGAGCUGGGCGGCAGAAGGCUGGGUUUGCUAGAUGUUAAUUUCAAGUAGCAUUUUGAAGAUGUGGACACCUAGCUAGUUCUAGCUGAGAUCUAGCUUGUGAUUGGUAGCAGUGGUUAUUGCAGGGAAGUGUCGCUUUCUGCUGAAAUUGCAUUUUGUGGGGGGUUUUUAAAAAGAAAAUUACAGAUAAGAGUAAGCAUUUGUUCAAUCAAACAAGAGCAUCUUAGACUUCUUGGUUUAUGUCCUUGGUUUUCUUCAUGCUCCUCCCUCCAGAUAGACAAAACGUGUGACAUGAGGUUCUACUUUAAAGUAAUAAAUGCAGUGGAAAUGCUAAGGCCUAAACAGAAUGUUUUAUUCAACAAAAUUAAGGGCAGUGGGGUAAUAAAUAUGCUGCAGGCACUUGUGGGUAAAGUGAGAAUACUAUUUUCACACAUUUCUCAAAAUGCUGCUUCCUCCCAUCCCCACCUCCUAACGUCAAUUUGGCUAAUUGAUUGCAAGUUAAACUAUUAAUUUUAAGAAAAGCAGAGCACACUUAAGUAGGCACUCUAAUUUUAGAGUCUAAAAUGAAGAGUGCUGGAUUGUUUUAACUGUAGUAUAAUGCCAACAGCUACUGCAUGUCUUCUUUUAGUUGCCUUUGUUCUCAAGAGUGCUAUCUUUAGUUUGUGAUUACAGCUAGAUUAUGGAUUACAGAGAUCCCAUCAUGGGAGUGGGUUGUGUCUCCAAUUUCGUACUAAAUUGUUUCAUGCUAAUUGGCAGAGGUGCUCUUAGCAGAAUCUGCAGUUGCCAUGUUACUCGAAGGAAUAGCCUUCUAGAAAACCACCUUCUGCCUUGAAUUAGGUUGGGCUGCUGGCUGGUUAUGUAGUGCUUUCCAGAAUUGCAUUUAAAAAUAUAACAGCGGUAGCUCCCACAGAGCCAAGUCAGGUUGGCAUGGCCAACAGCUGAGUGUUUGCUAAUUACGUGCCCAGUCUUGGUGGCAAUGAAGUAUGGACUGGCUAAUUAAAUUGAAACCACAUCAGGGGAUUUAAUCUUAAGGACAGGAACUGCUGUGUUCUAAUCAGCCUCCUUUUCUUCCCACUCCACAGCAGAGUAACAAAGCUGAGCUUGUACCAUCAUAGCUGUUCCCAUGGCUGCAGACUAUGAUGUCACAAACAGAUGCAUUAUGGCCAUAACAACUUGUACAACGAUUCCAUAAUUUAUUCUACACUUGUGGGAUUUGGAGAGGUGAUGUACCUCCAAUACACAUCUAAGAGCAGCAGCAAGAAGGCCAGCUGACGCCCUUCCUCCAAGUCAGAACUGGAUCUGGGUAGAUGAGUUUUGCCAGGGAGUUUAUUGUAUCACUGCCAACACCAUAUUCUACAUUCAGCAUGUCAAAAGGAGGCAUUCAUGGCUGGUCUGCAAUCAACUGGAGAAGCCACUUCAUGCAAAAUUUCAUUUGGGUUAUAACCAUUACUGUAGCAAUUUGAACAAUUUCCUUCUGGGUAGUGUAAAAUAAAAACUGGAUGUGAUGUUUCACCCUAAGAGAUGCUCCAUCCCCAGGCUGUUUUAAAUGUCGCAGUUACUUUUCCUGUACAAAAGUAUUCACUCCUGUUUAUGAAAAUGAAUAAAAGCUGUGUGCAGAUAGUCAAACAGUAGGUGGCCCUUGAUGGGAGUGGCUGAUAGAUGCUAAAGCAUGAAAGGCUAAGCCAUGGCCCUCCGGAUUUUGUUGGACUCCUUGUCUCAUCAGCCCCAACCAGCGUGGCCAAUGGCUGGGGAUGCUGGAAUCUGUAGUCCAAUGAUAUAUAAGGACUGAAGUAAAUCUGCCAAACAAACAAAC